rnacentral:rRNA from 1 species
AUUGAACGCUGGCGGCAUGCCUUACACAUGCAAGUCGAACGGCAGCACGGGUGCUUGCACCUGGUGGCGAGUGGCGAACGGGUGAGUAAUACAUCGGAACAUGUCCUGUAGUGGGGGAUAGCCCGGCGAAAGCCGGAUUAAUACCGCAUACGAUCCACGGAUGAAAGCGGGGGACCUUCGGGCCUCGCGCUAUAGGGUUGGCCGAUGGCUGAUUAGCUAGUUGGUGGGGUAAAGGCCUACCAAGGCGACGAUCAGUAGCUGGUCUGAGAGGACGACCAGCCACACUGGGAGUGAGACACGGCCCAGACUCCUACGGGAGGCAGCAGUGGGGAAUUUUGGACAAUGGGCGAAAGCCUGAUCCAGCAAUGCCGCGUGUGUGAAGAAGGCCUUCGGAUUGUAAAGCACUUUUGUCCGGAAAGAAAUCCUUGACUCUAAUACAGUCGGGGGAUGACGGUACCGGAAGAAUAAGCACCGGCUAACUACGUG